CCACCACACCCAGACUAAAAGGCAGUUUGAUUUUACAAAUCAAAAUAGCAGUAAUCUAUGGAGAUUUACUUGUGAGAUUGGUAGGAAACAUCUUAAAUGUAAUCAAACAAUAACUUACAUCUUGAUGAAUUCACGUGUAGGUUUCUCUUCCUCAGAAGAAAUCAGAUGCUGUUCAGAGCACGAAGGCUAGAAUUUUACCCUGGUUCUCAUGCUACCUUGCACCCAGGUUGGAUCCUGAGUACAGUUUUUGGCAGGUGGGCCUGCAUAUAAGUUAGCAAUGGGGGAUACCCAGCUGCCUCUCUUCAUACAGCUGAGGUUUUGGGGAGUCAUUCUUAUAGCCCCUGGGUUGGGCCUAGUCCUGCAAAUGAAUUCACCAGCCCUAAAGCCCAAAUUGCAGCCUCUGUCAUUCACCUUCCAGGAGUGGAAAGGGCAGUAAGUUUCAUCUUAUUAUUAUUGCUAUUUUGGUGGUUUUGUUGAGGUUGGUGUGUGUAUGUUAGUAAGAUAAAGCUCUCAGAAAUUACAUAGCAUUUGUCAAGGAUAUAAGAGGGACUGUGCCACAUCUGGCUGUAUAGAAGGUGGUUCCAUAUCUUUAAAUAGAGCCCCAGGUCCUUAGCCACCAGAAAGGUUUUCAGGGGAAGUGUGCACCCUCAGCAGCUGCUGCUGGUGGGCAGGAUGGGCACGCAUGGAACAGGCUUUCCUCUGUGGCCAGGUGAGAAGCAGGUGGUGAGACACAGAGCAGUGCUGGGCUCUGCUUCUGAAGCCUCCAACCUUUCCUUCCCUAGGAAGCCCCAGAGAGAUUGGUGAGGGUGAUUUCCCAGGAAGACGCAGUGUGCUCUGACUUCUGUGACAGUGAGCAACGGGACCAGUGGAUGUCCAGAUGCUGGCAAUGAGUAGGCCUUCCCUACGCUGGGUGGCGUCCACACCCUCCGGCUUCCAUUGCCUGGGUCUCCUGGAGGUGGUUUGCUGGAUGAAUACCGCAUGCACAGAGGCUGGCCUUGGGUUUGAAUAUGGCAGCCAGUGGACAGCAUGUGCUUCAGUUAUGAGACUGCCCAGGAGAUGCUUCUUCCAAGGCAGAGCACGUGCAGAGUCCAGUGCUGGAGAGGCCGGGUGCGCAGUUGACCCAUUUCCAGUUCUGUUUUCCCUCUCAUGUUCCUCUGUCCCCAUCUAGGACAUGCUCUGGAGUCAGAAGACAGCGAAAAGAGAAGCAGAAGCCCCGGUGGCAAGAGUCUGAAGCAGGAAGGAUGACUGUAGCCUGUGGAUUGUACUGCAGUAGGAAACUGUCCUAGCAAGGCUCCACUUUGCCCCAGCUUCAAGCUGGAAAGGAGGAGAACAUGAAACAUUGCUUGAAGACAAUGGCCGAGACAGCAGGUCCCACCCUGCACAGCCACCAGCAUCUCUCCCCUCAGCCCUGUCUCCUCUUCUGCAGUUGGGAUCUGCACAUUUAAGCCUGAAAUUGUCCUGUGAAGUGAAGUAUGAUCGGACAGCCUCUUUUCAGCUUUUAUGACAAUGGAGACAGAGGAAUUGUGGCUCUUGCCAAGGUCACAGGAUUGGAAUACAGAGCCAAGCCACCCCAGGACAUGCAAGAGCCUCAGAAGGGAAAAAAGCCCAGCAGGAAGGGAGAACAAGUAGCCUCUGUCCUGAAGUUGUAACAGCCAGGGGCCAGGAUGGAGGAGGAGGACCCCAUAAUCUGCCCAUCUGGGACUUGGCAGGGGACCUGGGAAAAUGUACCCCAACCCAUCCCUUAAGGGCCUUUGUCUUUGGCCCAUUGGCCUAGCAUCUACUUCUUCACCGUGUCUGUUCUUGUCACACCUAGUCAGGUCUGUUUGGGUCUGAGGUGCAUGGAACAUUCUGGGUAGGCCUCCAGCAAACGGAAGCUCUUCACCGUGUUUCCAGCCUGGGACCAAGGGCAGCAUACUGGCAAAGUUGCCAAAGCAAGGGACUCCAGCCUCUUAGGAGUUAAUGACUCCCUCUCCCCAGCUGUCCUCCCCUUGGUGCUCCUCUUCCUCCCUCCUCCUGCUCACAGCAGGCAGGGCCUAGACCCGGGAGCCAUGCUGCUGUGCUGUUGCCAGGGGAGCACGGAGGCAGAUCUGAGCUAUGCAGGGAAAAGGCCCAGCCUGUCAAAGUGUCUGAGAUGAACCGCCGCCGUCCCUGUGCAGCUGGGCUCAGACGUGUCUCAGCUCUUGUUCUGUGCCUGAGAAUGGCGAAACCCAGUGAGGUUCAAGGGCAAACUCGCUAUUCAUUAGUCAGGGGUUCUUGACGUCCCGUCUCUCCCAGGGAUGAGUUCCCCCCUCCUCUUUCUCCCCCUCCUAUGACACAUUCCUGGGUGCCUUUGGUGAGGACUGCACACCCUCCUCCUGCCUAGCCCCCUCUCCAAAGGCCCCUGAAUAAACUCCCCCCAAGGAGACCAGGCAGGGCAGAGACAAUGGCUGCAGGAAAUCAUUCAGGCGGGACAUGCUGGCCUGCCCUCCACCCAGUCCCCCUGUGGGCCCCACUCCCUUCUGAUUCAGGGCACCCUUGGGCCCCCAGCCUAUACAGGCCUGGACAGGAAGAAACCACUGGGAACCACCCUAAGGACAACAUGCUAGUCCAGUGCCAUUCUUCGCUGGCUCUGUGGGUGCCUUUGUGGCCUGUACCGACUGGCUGGCUAAUUUUGUGGUUUCUGUACCAUCACAUGCCUAUUUUAAGACACUCUCCAGCACUGUCGGUUAGGGAGUGUAAAUUUUGCAAUAUUUUCUGAAAUGUGGCAAUAUCAAAAUGUAAAAGGCACACAUACUUGGUCACAAACAAAUGGCACUAUUUACUCUGUGGGCAUAUUUGUAAAAGUUGCCAAAGAAUUAUAUACAAGGAUGUUCAUCAGAGCAUUUCUUUUGAAGAGUAAAGAAAUGGACAUGAACCUGUGGUCCGUUCAUACGGUGGAAUACCUAUGCAGCUGUAAAAAUCAGUGUGGUAGAUCUCCGUAUAUGAGUUGAUGUGGAAGGUUGGCCAGUUCACAUGAUAAGGUGAAUAGAAUAAGUUACAGAACAGGCUGUAGAGUAUGAUCUUAUUUGUAGAUGUUUAAAACUGAGUCAUAAGUAUGCUUAUAUACAGAUCGUUUCUGGAAGUAUGUACUGGAAGUCUACCUCUGGGGAGUGGGGAUGGGGGAGUGCACUCUUCUAUACUGUUAUAUUUUCUUUUCAUGCUCCUAAGGUACUUUUAUUGGAAGAUGUAAAGCGGUUCAAUGUAAUAGGCUUAACUUCUGUCAACUAAGUUGGCGUGGGUGCUUUAAGAGGGUGGUAGUGAUGUUGCUGGAGAAAGUAUCCCACAGUCACUGGUGGCUUCAGCCACGGGCCAUUUUGGGGCCUAAUAAUCACAUAUCAUCAUGGUUGCUAGUGUUAAUCGAAAACCUACUAAGUGCCAGGCUUACUGUCUCUGGGUCUUGCUUACGUGGAUGUCAUUUUUCCAGUUGCACCAAAUCGAAAGAGGUUAAUUGGUUUGUUGGAGUUCCUUUGUAGGUGAAGGGCAGAGCCAGGAGCUUGGCUAGGGACAGGGGAGGUGAGUGGGGGAUGGUGGAUAGGUCUUGGCUCCCAGUUUCCUUCUGGGCAGACAUUGCCCCUCUGCCCUGAGGACCUGCUUGUUUGGGGGAAGAGGCCUUUAGAGGCACCAGGGUCAUGCCAGGUGUUGGACAUGGUGAACUGGGAAGUGCUCCCAUCUGGCCACAGCGCAGAAGUAUCACCGUGCUGGGGGAUGGGGAACAGGGCUGUGAAUGGGCCUAUUUGCAUAAGCAGCAUGUGUCUGGAGAGAAAGACAUCACAGAGCAGAAGAGUGCGGGUGCCCAGGAGUGCACUUGCCACCCCUACUUCAUCCCUGAAAGAGUAAAUGGCCUGGAAGGUGUCUCUGAGAGGUAAUGCCGCACACCACCCUCCCUGGGGGCAGGGUCAGGCUACACCUGCCUUAGGUCGGGGGCUGCAGCAGCCUGAGAGCUCUCAGUAGGGCCUCAGUAGCCUGGGAGGGAGCAGGGGCAGGGGGCAGGGAAAGAGGCGUAAUGGGGCUGUCCAGAGGGGCCUGGGAAACCUGGUCCCUGAGGCCUGGGCACAGCUACAAUCACUUCAAAUUGGCUGUGGGGCCAGUGGACUGGGAAGGAAAAAAGCAAUAAGAGUGACCAAGUGCAGAAGGCUGUCAGGUCCCAGGUCACAUGCCUUAGUGCAGUGACUCCUCAUCAUUUUAUGGGGUGUGGGUGUCGUUGGUACACCCAUUUUACAGAUGAGGACACCGAGGCCCAGAAAAGUUAAGUUACAUGUCCUAAGUCACACAGCUUGUAAGUGCCAGAACUGAGAUCAAAACCAAGUCUCUUUGACUUUAAAGUCUGUACUCUGACCCCAAAGAGAUCCUGUUUGGCCACUUAUAGGAGGUCCCUAAAGCUGCAGACUCCCCUUGCCGGCACCCACAUAUAGAGACAUUAACCCUUCCCCUGCAGGGUCACCUCAAAUAGUCUUUUAGCUGGGCUUCUCCUGCAAUUCCACCUAAUGCCAUCCCCUGGGUUUUGCCCAAACCUGAACUGGGCAGUGGGGUGAGAGGAGGGGUUUACAGGGUUACAGAGCCUCAUACAGAUAGGAGCCCAUGGCUGCUGGUCAUCUGCAUUCCUGCAGGAUUGGCUGUUCCUUGGGGUCCUUGGCAGGAAAAUGAGGAUUGCUCCGAGGCCUGCUCCAGUACUUCCCAGAGGCUGGCCUGGUGUGGGGCUCUGGGAAGGCUGAGGCUGGAGAAGCGUAAGUAGGAGGGCAGAGAUGGCACUCAGGUAGCUUGAAUCACCAGGACCCUUCCAAGCCCCACAGGUUCUGAGGGAGUACUAGGGCCAGCUCUGGGAGAGGUCUCUUCCUAUGCUGUGAACCCCCUGCCUUUCUUGCAGCCUACAACGAAUAAAUUUUCUUUGCAAAGGCUU
rnacentral:lncRNA from 1 species